rnacentral:rRNA from 1 species
UACAGAGGCCUCGAGCGUUAGGCGGAAUCACUGGGCUUAAAGCGUGUGUAGGCGGACUUCUAAGUACCUUGUGAAAUCCCACGGCUCACCCGUGGAACUGCUUGGUAUACUGGUUGUCUUGAGCCUUCUAGGGGCGAGUGGAACAAAUGGUGGAGCGGUGAAAUGCGUAGAUAUCAUCUGGAACGCCAAUGGUGAAAACAACUCGCUGGGGAAGUGCUGACGCUGAGACACGAAAGCCAGGGGAGCGAACGGG